AUAUAUAAGCAUAUGUAUGUGUGUGUGUGUAUAUAUAUGGGAGAAGAAUAAAUACAUUAAAAUUCAAUUAAGAAUUAGGUAAAUUAUGAUAGUUAGGAGAGUUGAAUUUAAUUGAAUACAAAUUUAAGGAGAAUUGAAUAAAUAAUUUAUAAGAAUUAAAUUAAAUUGGAUAAGUAAUUGAUAAGUAAAUUAAUUUAGCCAUAAUCUAUAAUAAUUAGGUAACGGUAAUUUAAAAUAUUAAAAGAAAUAAAUUUUGAAAAUCAUUUGAUUUAAUAAAUAUGUAAAAAAAAUUAAUAAAUUUUGUUUUGAAUAUAAUAAAGGAUAUAAGAAAAUAGAAAAAGAAUAUUUGUAAUGAUUUCUGAAUGAAUAUUAGAUAAAAUAAAUUAAAAAUAAAUUACUAAUUAAUUAAUAUAAAAUGAUAAAAAUUUAUUAUUUACUAAAUUAUGUAAUUAAUCAAAUAAAUAAAAUAAAAAAAAAAUUAAAUUUAAUGAUCGCUUUAGUAACUAGAAUAGUUGUAGAAACAAGAUAGACAUGCAAUAUGAUUGCAUGAAACUCUUGGGUUCAUCGUUGACCCGAGAAGACUUAGUUGUUGUGCAUAUUUUUGUUAAUAUUCGGAUCGUAUUUGGAACUCAAAUCAUAAUUAUUUUGUUUCGAAAUCUGUAUGUAUAUCUAAUAGCUAUCCCGAAGCUACGUUUGUAUGUUUUGAAAAAUGUUUUCAAACAAAAACAUAAUUAAGUUUUGAGUAAGGUUUAUAAUAUUAAGUAAUCAUAAUUUGAUAAUCAAGUAAGUGGGAGAAUUGAAAAAUGGUGAUACUUAAUGUUUUAAUUUGUCAUUUACUUGUUGCUUAAUUGUUGAAUUAAGAUUGUAUAUUUUAAAUACUGUAUAAUGAUUGAUGGUAUGAUGAAUUGAAUAGUCUUAAUAGAGUAUUAAUAAUAGUGCAUAUUCACCAAUAAGAUCAUGAACACAUAAAAUAACCCUUAUAAAUAAAUAAAAUCAACAAAAAAAAUACACUUUCUUAAAUAAACUUAAAAAUUUUAAAUAAAACUAAUAAAAUUAAAAACUAAAAAUAAUACAAGCAUUAAAACAUAAAUAAUAACUAAAUAAAUUACAAUAAACAGGAAAGUGUAGGAUUAGAUAGAGUUAGUGAGCUCUAUAAGGAUAGAAAAGAGNNN
rnacentral:lncRNA from 1 species